rnacentral:rRNA from 1 species
UACGUAGGGUCCGAGCGUUGUCCGGAAUUAUUGGGCGUAAAGGGCUCGUAGGCGGUUUGUUGCGUCGGGAGUGAAAACUUACAGCUUAACUGUGAGCGUGCUUCCGAUACGGGCAGACUUGAGGUAUUCAGGGGAGAACGGAAUUCCUGGUAUAGCGGUGAAAUGCGCAGAUAUCAGGAGGAACACCGGUGGCGAAGGCGGAUCUCUGGGCCAUUACUGACGCUGAGGAGCGAAAGCGUGGGGAGCGAACAGG